UACGUAGGGUGCGAGCGUUAAUCGGAAUUACUGGGCGUAAAGCGUGCGCAGGCGGCGCGUUAAGUGAGAUGUUAAAUCGUGUGGCUCAACCAUAUCGAUGCAUCUCAUACUGGCAUGCUAGAGGAAGGCAGAGGCAAGUGGAAUUGGUAGUGUAGCAGUGAAAUGCGUAGAUAUUACCAGGAACACCAAUGGCGAAGGCAGCUUGCUGGGCCUUUUCUGACGCUGAGGUACGAAAGCGUGGGGAGCGAACAGG
rnacentral:rRNA from 1 species